AAUGAACGCUGGCGGCGUGCUUAACACAUGCAAGUCGUACGAGAAAUCCUUGGCUUGCCAGGGAGAGUAAAGUGGCGCACGGGUGAGUAUCGCGUGGGUAAUCUACCCUUGGAUUCAGGAUAACACUUCGAAAGGGGUGCUAAUACUGGAUAACAUCCUGAUGGUUUUGGCCAUAAGGAUCAAAGAUAGCCUCUACAUGUAAGCUAUUGUUCAGGGAUGAGCCCGCGUACCAUUAGCUAGUUGGUGGGGUAAGAGCCUACCAAGGCGACGAUGGUUAGCUGGUCUGAGAGGGUGACCGGCCACACUGGAACUGAGAUACGGUCCAGACUCCUACGGGAGGCAGCAGUGGGGAAUAUUGCACAAAUUGGGGCGCAAGCCUGAUGCAGCAACGCCGCGUGAGGGGAUGAAGGCCUUCGGUUGUAAACCUCUUUUAGCAGGGAAGAAGCGAAAGUAGACGGUACCUGCAGAAAAAG
rnacentral:rRNA from 1 species